rnacentral:tRNA from 1 species
AAUCGAUAAGCUUUUAGAAGCAUGUAUUUUGAAAGUACAAGAAAAGGUAUAAAAUCCUUAUUGAUUU